rnacentral:rRNA from 1 species
UACGUAGGGUGCGAGCGUUUGUCCGGAAUUAUUGGGCGUAAAGAGCUUGUAGGCGGUUUGUCGCGUCUGCUGUGAAAAUCCGGGGCUCAACCCCGGACUUGCAGUGGGUACGGGCAGACUAGAGUGUGGUAGGGGGAGACUGGAAUUCCUGGUGUAGCGGUGAAAUGCGCAGAUAUCAGGAGGAACACCGGUGGGCGAAA